CUUACGAUUUAAACUUUAAUGAAGAACACAGUCCAUUUAUUGCCAAAUGACUACUGAAAUCCAGCCAAAUACUACACUGUCAUUUGGUUGUUACCAGCUGGCUGUUUUACCCCAUUUGGCAAUUCAUAAAAGGCAAACUUGGCUAUUUAAGACAGAUUUGCACAUAAAAUUUGGCUACAUUUCAGUUGUCUGUUAAAAUCAGCUUAAUCUCCAUAUCUGAACUGCAACAGGAGUUACCUUCAUUUGGUUGUUCCAAUCCACCUGGUAAAUUCAACCCGGAAUUUUAAAGGAGCACUAUAGGGUCAGGAACACAAACAAGUAUUCCUGACGAUAUAGUGCAAAACCAUCAUUAAGGCUUGCCCCCUCCUCCCCCCUUUAAAAGCCUGAAAGACAUCUUAUUUUGAGCGCUAUGCGGAUGCGCUGGCACUGGCCCCGCCCCCUGGGUGACAUCAGAAUUGCUGAAUUUUAGCCAAUCCAAUGCUUUCCUAUGGGGAAAGCAUUAUAUUGGC